CCUACGGGAGGCAGCAGUGAGGAAUAUUGGUCAAUGGGCGCGAGCCUGAACCAGCCAAGUAGCGUGAAGGAAGACUGCCCUAGGGGUUGUAAACUUCUUUUAUAAAGGAAUAAAGUGAGGCACGUGUGCCUGUUUGUAUGUACUUUAUGAAUAAGGAUCGGCUAACUCCGUGCCAGCAGCCGCGGUAAUACGGAGGGUCCGAGCGUUAUCCGGAUUUAUUGGGUUUAAAGGGAGCGUAGAUGGGUUGUUAAGUCAGUUGUGAAAGGUUGCGGCUCAACCGUAAAAUUGCAAUUGAUACUGGAAGCCUUGAGUGCAGUUGAGGUAGGCGGAAUUCGUGGUGUAGCGGUGAAAUGCUUAGAUAUCACGAAGAACUCCGAUGGCGAAGGCAGCCUACUGGACUGCAACUGACGUUGAGGCUCGAAAGUGUGGGUAUCAAACAGGAUUAGAUACCCGUGUAGUC
rnacentral:rRNA from 1 species